rnacentral:tRNA from 1 species
GCCCCCGUAGCUCAGAUGGACAGAGCAAGGCCCUUCUAAUGCCAAGGUCGCAGGUUCGAGUCCUGCCGGGGGCGCCA